rnacentral:rRNA from 1 species
GAUGAACGCUAGCUACAGGCUUAACACAUGCAAGUCGAGGGGCAGCAUGGACAUAGCUUGCUAUGUUUGAUGGCGACCGGCGCACGGGUGCGUAACACGUAUCCAAUCUGCCCGUUACUCGGGGAUAGCCUUCUGAAAGGAAGAUUAAUACCCGAUGGCAUUCAUUAGCGGCAUCGCUUGUGAAUUAAAGAUUUAUCGGUAACGGAUGAGGAUGCGUACGAUUAGCUAGUUGGUGGGGUAAUGGCCUACCAAGGCGACGAUGCGUAGCCGACCUGAGAGGAUGAACGGCCACAUUGGGACUGAGAUACGGCCCAGACUCCUACGGGAGGCAGCAGUGGGGAAUAUUGGGCAAUGGGGGAAACCCUGACCCAGCAACGCCGCGUGAAGGAAGAAGGCCUUGGUUGUAACUUCUUUUAGUCAGGGACGAAGAACGUGACGGUACCUG